UACAGAGGGUGCGAGCGUUAAUCGGAAUUACUGGGCGUAAAGCGUGCGCAGGCGGUUUUGUAAGACAGAGGUGAAAUCCCCGGGCUCAACCUGGGAACUGCCUUUGUGACUGCAAGGCUAGAGUACGGCAGAGGGGGGAUGGAAUUCCGCGUGUAGCAGUGAAAUGCGUAGAUAUGCGGAGGAACACCGAUGGCGAAGGCAAUCCCCUGGACCUGUACUGACGCUCAUGCACGAAAGCGUGGGGAGCAAACAGG
rnacentral:rRNA from 1 species